rnacentral:snRNA from 1 species
UCCCGCCAAAACGUUUCGA